UGAGUAAGAUGGUAGGUUAAUGACCUAGA
rnacentral:piRNA from 1 species